rnacentral:rRNA from 1 species
AUUGAACGCUGGCGGCAGGCCUAACACAUGCAAGUCGAGCGGAGCGGCGGACGGGUGAGUAAUGCCUAGGAAUCUGCCUGGUAGUGGGGGCUAACGUCCGGAAACGGGCGCUAAUACCGCACACUAUCAGAUGAGCCUAGGUCGGAUUAGCUAGUUGGUGGGGUAAAGGCCUACCAAGGCGACGAUCAGUAACUGGUCUGAGAGGAUGAUCAGUCACACUGGAACUGAGACAUGGACCAGACUCCUACGGGAGGCAGAAGUGGGGAAUAUUGGCGAAUGGGCGAAGGCCUGAGCCAGCCAUGCCGCGGGUGUGAAGAAGGUCUUCGGAUUGUAAAGCACUUGAAGUUGGGAGGCGUUACCAACAGAAUAAGCACCGGCUAACUUCGUGCCAGCAGCCGCGGUAAUUC